GAACGAUAUGAAUGGACAAAAAUGCCCCUCCGUUUUGAAAGGGAAAGGAAAUUAGAGGACGGAAGGGGCGUCUCCCAGAAGCCAUCACGAGACCUACUGGAAUUGGAAUCAUCUUCAGGUUCACCAGUCCCAAACCCUUCACAGCCAUCGCGUCCGUCAUCCACUUCGGCUCGUUCUCUGCCUCCCACUUCAAUACCUUUGGGUACCUCAUCUUCGAUCCGUAUUCCUCCAUCUCCUUCACUCCCGGUCGUACCCCUCCUCAGUAUCCUGUAAUUUGCGUGCCAAACAUACGCGUAUUGUGAUUCAUGUUUCUGUUUGGUGAUGUUCACUAUGUUCUUUAUUCCCAAUAUCACCGCCAAUGGAUGGCCAGCCGUCAUCGAUGAUUAAAAACUUCUGAGGGGUACCGCCAAUAGCGAGAGUCUUGAGGCCGAACUCUACGCCUUCUUUGGUUACUUCCUGUUAAAACGCGUCCUCGGUACAUGGGACUGAAAUAUAUAGGUUUAAACCUUUUCCCCUCUAUGCAAUUCCCGCAGGUCUGGUUUAUAGUUCUUUCUUUCUUUUUCUAUUUCAAUUGGAUUUUUUGAGGUAUUCUUAUAGCAAUAAUUUUGGUAUAUGUGUCUUGUUGAUGGAUGAACCUGGGUAUUGAAACCUUUUAUCUGGAACUGAAUUCUGCAUGACUGUAUUGAUGUUCGUGUAAUUCUGGAUCGAGUAGAUCUUGUGGUUUAUCUGUUUGUAGAAUGAGUUUUAAAUUGGAUUGUUUUAUCCGUUUGUGGCUUUGGAUUGGUGGACCUAGUUGGAGGUGCCAUGGUUAUUUUCGAUAAACUAACCUGAGCUUGCAGGUUGAAUUGUA